UUUGACAUCCAAUAGCCGAUGAUUAAUUAAUCAAUGUGUUCUAGUGGUGUCGUUAAACAAAACAAAAUUUAACAUUCACUUAAAGCUGCAGUCUUAAAGUUGUAUAAUGAGGCAUUCACCAAAAUGUUGAGGGUUCUUUUUCUUUUUUCUUGUGAAGUGUAAAGAAUAUAGAUUAUACAUUGGACUGCAUACUUUGAAUGUUUUAUACUGUAGGUGCAUUUUUUUUUUUUUUUUUUUUUUUUUUUUUUUUUUUUUUUAAUACAUUGCACACAAAAUAAUCCACCCCACCCAACCCGACCCCACACCUGCUCUAGAAAAACCCUGCAUUCGUCCCGUGAUAUUUUGUAACAAUGAAAUAAAAUGACCUUCAUGUCGGGAAUCUGAUCCUAGCUGUUAGUUCCAUUUUCACUUGCUAUAACCUGUGAGCUGAAGAAGAAAAAAACCCCAACAAACAAACAACUUAUAUAAAUUGAUAUAGGUAUAUCUAUGGAUGUUUUCUAUUUUGCAAGUUGAAAGACAACAAAUAGGACUUAUUCCACGUAUGCCUGCCAAAUCACCCACAUACACAUUUCAAUGGUAUUUCGACAUUUUCCGUUAAGUUACGAAACUUACCGAAAACGUUACCUUAAAAACGUCAUUUCUUUGAGAUGACGUCAACAAUGCUGAUACGUCAUACAUUUUUCCGAAUAUAGUUUUACUUCAAAGAUGCGCGAACAUAAUCGUUGUUUGACAUUUAUAAUCAUAUUUAUUUUAAAUGUGCACUUAUAUUUAAAAUGUGUAUGGAUCGUAUACAAUCUAAUGGCGACUCGUAACUAUUGUGCCGUUCAGUUGAUAUAUGGAUAGAGAUAUGGUACGGAAUGAAACAGUUGUAGUAACAACCAAGAUCAACUUUGAUGGCCAAUUCUUCCCUCAACAAUACAUCCGGGUAAUGAGUCUUCUGAAACGUCGCUUCUAGCUGCUCCAGUUGCUCCUCGGUAAAGAUCGUACGAUGUCGUCGCUUCCGCUUCUGACUCGCUCGUGCAAGUUCGGCCGGAUUCAUGAACCCCGGGAAUGGUUGGAUUUUACGAUGUAUCAUAAGUUCGUUCUCUCUGUCCACUUGAGUUCCACAACAUAAUUAUUGUAAAGGCCGUCAUUGUACUGGUAUCGGUCAUUUGCCCGAGGCGUAACAAGAAUUCAUUGAUCUGUCCCGUGAGCCAUACCUUUAGCUGUGGGCAAAGUUUUCAAAAAACUUACUUCAAUAUGUUUUUUCCACCACAGUCUGACGUGUCACGGACUACUAAAUCUAAAGGCUGUUUAUUCGUUGAUUUAAUUAAGAUAAUUCACUUGAAGAUCAAUGCACGGAAUCCACGGUGUAUAAGUGUAAAUAAAGCCGGGAUGAGUUAAAAAGAGAUCAAUAUUUCCGAACUCAUGAAAUAUUUACCCACACCAUUUCAUGUAUAAAAAGGAAGCUGUUUUUUUCUCUCCCUUGCUGAAUACGCUAAUGCGUUUUGUAUCAGAUGAUUAGCGAUUUAAAAAAAAAAAAAAAAGAAUAAAAGUCAGAUUAUUAUCUUCGUCUCUUGUACGGAGAAGUAAAACCAAUUUUGCAGGCGCGUGUGCAGGAAUUUAUGCAGGGUGGUUGAUUUGUGCUUCCCCGGAAAACAUUGUGGAUUCCACCCACCCACCCACACACGCGCGUCUAUUUCGUGAUGUAACACUUGUAUGUCAGUAAAUAUAUAUGUUUUUUUAAAUAAACUGAAACUAAAAACAAUCCACAGAUAUAUACACCUAAAAACCAAAUAAACAAACAAACAACAUUGAUAUACAUUUGUUUAUCAUCCAUAGGACUUAAAAUAAUCAAACAUGUUAAUAUACUUACCCUUUUUAAUGCCUAGUAGCCGAUGUAUAUUUUUGUGCUGGGGUGUCGUGAAACAUUGAUUCAUUAAAAUAACCAUUGUAAUAUAUAUCGUAUAGCAAUAGGUAUUAUAAAGAUUUAACAGCAGGCCUAUUUCGUCAAGUUUUUAUAUGCACUUCCUUUAGGUUAAUACUAAUAAUGGAACAGUAAAAAAAAGUUGUUAUAACUUGUAUCACUUGAAUACAAUGUAUAUAAUCUAUGUUUAGAUUAUACGUGUUAUCAUAGAUAUUGAUAAACCAAUAAAAAGAUAAUAAUAUUUUUUUAAUGAUUAUCAUCAUCAUCAUCAUCAUCAUCAUCAAAUAAUUUAUAAAAUAAAUAUUACACCUUUAUAAAUAAAAAUAACAGACAAACAUUUUAAAAAGUUCAUAUGCCAGUUAUUGACGAAACAAAACACUGUUUACAAAGACAGUUGCAAACCUACUGAGUAAAUGUUAUUAAUAAUGAGACAGCUCUAGGAACCGAGUAAAAAAAAAUAUUCAUCACUAUGUAUUUGUUUUAUAC
rnacentral:lncRNA from 1 species